rnacentral:tRNA from 1 species
GCCAGUAUGGCGUAGUGGUUUGAGCAUUGGACUAGGACUCUGGAGAUCAAGGUUCGAAUCCCAGUCCAGCCG